rnacentral:tRNA from 1 species
GAGAUUCUAGCUCAGUUGGUAAAGUUCUUGCCUUUUAAGCAUGAGGACCUGAGUUCCAUCCCCAGCAUUCACU